rnacentral:rRNA from 1 species
GCUGAGCUGAAGUAGGUCCCAAGGGUAUGGCUGUUCGCCAUUUAAAGUGGUACGCGAGCUGGGUUUAGAACGUCGUGAGACAGUUCGGUCCCUAUCUGCCGUGGGCGCUGGAGAAUUGAGGGGGGCUGCUCCUAGUACGAGAGGACCGGAGUGGACGCAUCACUGGUGUUCGGGUUGUCAUGCCAAUGGCACUGCCCGGUAGCUAAAUGCGGAAGAGAUAAGUGCUGAAAGCAUCUAAGCACGAAACUUGCCCCGAGAUGAGUUCUCCCUGAGACUUUAAGUCUCCUGAAGGAACGUURAAGACGAYGACGUUGAUAGGUCGGGUGUGUAAGCGCAGCGAUGCGUUGAGCUAACCGAUACUAAUGAACCGUGAGGCUUAACCUU